rnacentral:rRNA from 1 species
AUUGAACGCUGGCGGCAUGCUUUACACAUGCAAGUCGAACGGUAACAGGUUAAGCUGACGAGUGGCGAACGGGUGAGUAAUGCAUCGGAACGUGCCCGAUCGUGGGGGAUAACGCAGCGAAAGCUGCGCUAAUACCGCAUACGAUCUGAGGAUGAAAGCGGGGGACCGUAAGGCCUCGCGCGAUCGGAGCGGCCGAUGUCAGAUUAGGUAGUUGGGGGGGUAAAGGCUCACCAAGCCGACGAUCUGUAGCUGGUCUGAGAGGACGACCAGCCACACUGGGACUGAGACACGGCCCAGACUCCUACGGGAGGCAGCAGUGGGGAAUUUUGGACAAGGGGCGAAAGCCUGAUCCAGCAAUGCCGCGUGCAGGAAGAAGGCCUUCGGGUUGUAAACUGCUUUUGUACGGAGCGAAAAGGCUCUCUCUAAUACAGGGGGCUCAUGACGGUACCGUAAGAAUAAGCACCGGCUAACUACGUGCCAGCAGCCGCCGUAA